GACGAACGCUGGCGGCGUGCUUAACACAUGCAAGUCGAACGAUGAAGUUCCUUCGGGAAUGGAUUAGUGGCGAACGGGUGAGGAACACGUGAGAAACCUGCCUUUCAUUUUGGGAUAACUCCGGGAAACCGGGGCUAAAACCGAAUACUCCGUCUCGGCGGCAUCGCUGAGCCGGGAAAAAAUUUUGAUGAAAGAUGGUCUCGCGGCCUAUCAGCUAGUUGGGGAGGUAAUGGCUCACCAAGGCAACGACGGGUAGCCGGCCUGAGAGGGCGACCGGCCACACUGGGACUGAGACACGGCCCAGACUCCUACGGGGGGCAGCAGUGGGGAAUAUUGGGCAAUGGGCGCAAGCCUGACCCAGCGACGCCGCGUGGGGGAUGAAGGCCUUCGGGUUGUAAACCUCUUUCAGUAGGGAAGAAGCGAAAGUGACGGUACCUAAAGAAGAAGCACCGGCUAACUAUGUGCCAGCAGCCGCCGUAA
rnacentral:rRNA from 1 species